GCACAAAAUGUGUCGCUGAGAUUUAGUUUAACACAGAAUUCUUUUCUUAUACAGAAACUCUCAAUUUGUGCUUUUUUUGUUGUGUUUUAUAGUUCUCCAAGAAGUAAUAAAAAACAAUUCUCAGGAUGUGGGUUACUCAAAAUUACGUAAUCCAUGAUUAAUCUGUACGUGCUAUUUUCUGAUAUACAGGCUGAUUCAGAUAAAAUAAAGUCUGACGAUCUGGCGAUGCAACCAAUAAAACACAUUUCAUUUACGUAUUUGAUUCAAUUUAAAAUAGGAAUUGCAAGUUGAAUCCAAGUUACCAUUUUAUGUCACUCUGACACCAGCACAGAGAACGAUAGUGUCAUUCAGUUCUCGCGAAAUGAUAGAGAAAUUGGAGAAGUCUUUUCGGUGUAGACUCCGAUACAAAAUAUAUGAAAGAAUGAAACAUUAAAGGUAGGUAAACAGUGUAACCGUUCGGGGGUCUGGCCUUGUCAAAAUAUUUAGUUUUGAGGUGAUCGUCUAGAGAUUGCUUGGAGGACCGCUACGUUGUCGUGUAGAUUUGGAGAUUUGUUAUUUCAAGCACUGUGUGUCUGGGAAAAGAAAACGCAAAGAGUUCGACCCAAAAUGUUUAUUCACUAAAUUUACAGUCAUUGGUGAUAGUAUGCAACACGUUAUACAAUUCAGAAGUGAGUAUAGACAACAAGUUAAACACUAUACCUAGGCAACCAGCUAAACGAGUAUUGAAUCUCGGAGAACUGAGCGGGAAAUUUGAAUGCAAAGUUGAUUACUCGGACCCAACCCGGUGAUUCUAGAAAGACGGUUGCAAGAGGGACUCCCAGAGGUUCCGACCACCGCGUGCUCUCCAUUCCCUAACCUUGGUUGGGCCAUUGCACUCACUGGGACUGCCGAGGUCUUUUUCCCUAGUGUGAUGGCAAGUUCCAAAGGGAGACAGAAAGAUAGUUACUACUCAAACAUGCAGCCAAAUUAAGCCUUCGUAAUCAACAGUUUGUUUUAAUUAAGCAAAAGAGCUCUCGUCAAAUUCAACACGUACAUAUCACGUGCACCUAACUAAACUUAAGUAUUUUUACAGUAAGCGAAAGUCUAGUAAAAAUAAAAUAAAUGACAUGAAAGGAUUAAGUUUGCGCCCUGUGGAAAAGAAUAAUUAACGCUCUGUGAAAGAAAAGAUUAAUUAACGUUCUGAAAAAUAAAAGAUUAAUUAACGCUCUGAAAAAGAAAAGAGUUAGAUAAAGAUCCUCCCCUGAGACUUCCAACCGUUGAAGAUGGUGAUCCCGGUGGUGUGAUGAAGAGUUUGUCUCUUUGAGACCUGGAGGUUUCUCUCGAGGUACAUUUCACCGUUUGGCGCUCAACCCGUCGCAGACAAAGAAGCUGCCAUGGUGAAAAACCCCAACUGAAAGUUGAACCAAUCUCAUCUUUUGAAGAGGCGCUCAACCCGUCGGAGACAAAGAAGCUGCCUGAGAUUUACGUUCAACUCCAGGAGACUAUUUCUCAAUCAAUCUUUCCAACCCGUCGGCGGGAAAGAUUGAUCGGCUUCGCGAGUUAGUUGGCUCAACCCGUCGAAGACAAAGAAGCUCAACUACAGCAGUGAGACGAGUGCAAGCGUUGUCUCCGAAAAGACGUACAAACACUGUCUGAUUUUCCUCUUCCAAGCGGCAACUAUUUAUAGGGGUUGCGUGACGUCACUGGAUCUGUGGCCUACGUGACUAACAAGAAAUAUUGUUUAAAGUUGAUAAACAAUGCGUUAAUAUCUUCGAAGGAUUGACAGGAAGUUUGCAAACGUCUCGGGUGAUGUCGAGAUGUGAUAGAAUCGACGUAUUUGUUCCUCAAUCGCCAAUUAAUUAAUAAAAGCGUUUCCACGUGGAAUAAAAAA